rnacentral:rRNA from 1 species
UACGUAGGGUGCAAGCGUUAAUCGGAAUUACUGGGCGUAAAGCGUGCGCAGGCGGUUUUGUAAGUCUGUCGUGAAAUCCCCGGGCUCAACCUGGGAAUUGCGAUGGAGACUGCAAGGCUAGAAUCUGGCAGAGGGGGGUAGAAUUCCACGUGUGAGCAGUGAAAUGCGUAGAGAUGUGGAGGAACACCGAUGGCGAAGGCAGCCCCCUGGGUCAAGAUUGACGCUCAGCCACGAAAGCAUGGGGAGCGAACGGG